GACGAACGCGGGCGGCGUGCUUAACACAUGCAAGUCGAACGCUGAAGCUCAGCUUUUGUUGGGUGGAUGAGUGGCGAACGGGUGAGUAACACGUGAGUAACCUGCCCCCUUCUUUGGGAUAACGCCCGGAAACGGGUGCUAAUACUGGAUAUUCACUGGUCUUCGCAUGGGGGUUGGUGGAAAGGGUUUUUCUGGUGGGGGAUGGGCUCGCGGCCUAUCAGCUUGUUGGUGGGGUGAUGGCCUACCAAGGCUUUGACGGGUAGCCGGCCUGAGAGGGUGAUCGGCCACACUGGGACUGGGACACGGCCCAGACUCCUACGGGAGGCAGCAGUAGGGAAUCUUCGGCAAUGGGGGGAACCCUGACCGAGCAACGCCGCGUGAGUGAAGAAGGUUUUCGGAUCGUAAAGCUCUGUUGUUAAGGAAGAACGAGUGUGAAAAUGGAAAGUUCAUACUGUGACGGUACUUAACCAGAAAGGGACGGCUAACUACGUGCCAGCAGCCGCGGUAAUACGUAGGUCCCGAGCGUUGUCCGGAUUUAUUGGGCGUAAAGCGAGCGCAGGCGGUUAGAAAAGUCUGAAGUGAAAGGCAGUGGCUCAACCAUUGUAGGCUUUGGAAACUGUUUAACUUGAGUGCAGAAGGGGAGAGUGGAAUUCCAUGUGUAGCGGUGAAAUGCGUAGAUAUAUGGAGGAACACCGGUGGCGAAAGCGGCUCUCUGGUCUGUAACUGACGCUGAGGCUCGAAAGCGUGGGGAGCGAACAGG
rnacentral:rRNA from 1 species